AGGGGCGGGGGGUGGUGGUGUCCCGAGGGACCUGCUGAAUCUGGCUGGACCCACUGCGCCGCAGCCUGGGGAUCCGGCCGAGGGAGCGAGAGGAAGGGGGCCUCGGAAGCGGCCCCCGGCUCCCUGCCCUGGAGGCACAGAGGGCGGGGGCUUACGCGAAUGGCUUUCUUGCUGGCCACUUGCAGAAUCAGUACUACACUUGCUUUUUUCCAGUCUUCUGGUAUCUCUCCAGUUCUUGAAUUUUCAAAAAUAAUUGGUUGAUGUGUUUUGCAGUCAGAGAUGGUUAAGAAGUCAAAGAUUUCUUUUUGAGUCAAAGCAUAAAAGUUCCAUGCUAUAGAAGCUUAAAAUUUUUAGUUUACGAAAAGCAAGACAUGCAAAUGCUGAACUGUUAAACUGAGAAGUAAGUAGGCCUUCUAAAUAAAUAAAUGUUUACACCACGCCCAGAGUGUAUCAUUCAUGCCAAGGGUGAAAGUGAGUAGGGAAACUUAAGACAGAAGUGUUGUCACUUUUACUUAGAGAGGGCCCUCUUAGAAGAGAAUUUUGAGGUUCCUUUUCCCCCCCCUUUUUUUUUAAGGGAGGAGGAAGAAAAUGGCAGCUAAUGGGGUGGGUAAGGGAAAGAAGAACUAAAUAGAAUAUGAAGUUAAGAUUCAGCGACUGGAGGAAGGAACCAAACAAAAUGUAGAGGGAAUAUCGGAGGUAAUCUAGUUUGUUUUGUGUUAUGUUCCUUUAGCUAAAUUACUGUUGCCCUGGAGGUGAUUGGGGGCCAUAAUGGAUGGGGUUUUGGGGAGAAAAGAAAGUGAUUCUGAAGAGCAGGUUAAAUCCUAAUUUGAGCAGCAGCAUGUGUAAUUGAUGAGAAGAGAGAUUGAUGUACCACUAUUCUUGGAGAAUUUAGAUAAUUUAAAUAGACCUAUUAUUUUUUAAAAGUACUAUUUUUACUUUAAAAAUUGAAAUGUCAUGUAUGAAAGAUGAAGUAUCUUUUGUACUAUUAAACAAUAUUUAGAUUUAUUUCAAAUUUUCUUUUU